rnacentral:misc_RNA from 1 species
CUUAUCUCAUGAAUGAUAUGCCACGAGAAGCUCUCAAUGAUACAGUACAAGCACAAGUGAUAUCUCCUGUUUGGCAUAUUGCAUCAUAUCUGCAAGCUGCUUCUCUUUUCACAUUGGGAAGGGAAAACGAGGCACAAAUCGCACUUAGAGAGGCUGCCAUACUCGAAGAAGAGAAAAAUGCAUCUGCUUGAAAGUGGCAACUGG